UCUGCCUGGCUGCUGCAAGCUAUUGAGUCCUGAGUGCAGUUGGGAAGGGGCUGUUGAGAAGCAUCAACUCUGCUUGAAAGGGAGGGAGUUAUCUGUGUGUGGGACAGAGAGCAGAACAGAGGGUGCAAGGGGACUCAAGUUCACAUUUUGUCUUUAUUGGUAUAUGUUGAUUUGUUUGUGGGGGCUGUUAGUGUCCAGUUCUCAGAUGGGCACAGAGGGACUCCUGUGUUUUUUCUCUGUCAUCAUAUCCUAGGAGGAAGAAAAGACUGGGCCACAUGUUCUUCUGGGUGGCCCAGUCCUGCUGUGAUCUGGAAUGGCUUGUCGUCCUCAUUGUACAGACUUUGCAGGACAGAGAUGAUGCAUAUCCUAUCAACCUUCCUAGUACCUUCUUGUCCUUCAGGUUUAAGCAUCUGGCCAAAUGCUCUACUGAGGUCUUGGACAGCACAGCUAAAGUUAGCAGCAGAUAUCUCAUAAAGUGGUGACUGAUUUUUCCUUUCUCUCUGACCUCAGAAGGAGCUCAGCUCACUGCAGCAAUAUCCAGCUCGGUGAUGUAUACUGACAAAGGGAAGUAAUCUAUUUUGAGUUGGCCUGUAUUUUUUCUCUGUAGCAUCUAGCAU
rnacentral:lncRNA from 1 species